rnacentral:rRNA from 1 species
AUUGAACGCUGGCGGAAUGCUUUACACAUGCAAGUCGAACGGCAGCACGGACUUCGGUCUGGUGGCGAGUGGCGAACGGGUGAGUAAUGUAUCGGAACGUGCCCAGUCGUGGGGGAUAACGCAGUGAAAAUUACGCUAAUACCGCAUACGAUCUAUGGAUGAAAGCGGGGGAUCGCAAGACCUCGCGCGAUUGGAGCGGCCGAUAUCAGAUUAGGUAGUUGGUGGGGUAAAGGCCCACCAAGCCAACGAUCUGUAGCUGGUCUGAGAGGACGGCCAGCCACACUGGAACGGGGACACGGUCCAGACUCCUACGGGAGGCAGCAGUGGGGAAUUUUGGACAAUGGGCGAAAGCCUGAUCCAGCCAUUCCGGGUGCAGGAUGAAGGCCCUCGGGUUGUAAACUGCUGUAGUACAGAACGAAAAGGUUUCUACUAAUACUAGGAGCUCAUGACGGUACUGUAAGAAUAAGCACCGGCUAACUACGUGCCAGCCGCCGCAGUAA